rnacentral:rRNA from 1 species
GUGGGGAAUAUUGGGCAAUGGGGGAAACCCUGACCCAGCGACGCCGCGUGGGUGAAGAAAUCCUUCGGGAUGUAAAGCCCUGUUGUAUGGGAAGAGCGGAAGACGGUACCAUACGAGGAAGCCCCGGCAAACUACGUGCCAGCAGCCGCGGUAAUACGUAGGGGGCGAGCGUUGUCCGGAAUUACUGGGCGUAAAGCGCGCGUAGGCGGUCCAUUAAGUGUGCGGUGAAAUUCGGAGGCUCAACCUCCGUCCCGCCGCGCAAACUGAUGGUCUUGAGAGUGGGAGGGGGAUGCGGAAUUCCUGGUGUAGCGGUGAAAUGCAUUGAUAUCAGGAGGAACACCGGCGGCGAAAGCGGCAUCCUGGCUUAUAUCUGACGCUGAGGCGCGAAAGCGUGGGUAGCAAACGGGAUUAGAAACCCUAGUAGUCC